ensembl:snRNA U6 U6 spliceosomal RNA
AUGCUCGCUUCAGCAGCACACACACUAAAACUGGAACGAUAGCGAGAAGACUGGCAAGGUCCCUGCACAAGGAUAACAAGCAAAUGCAUGACGCAGUCCAUAUUUUU